GACGUAGGGGGCCAGCGUUGUUCGGAAUUACUGGGUGUAAAGGGUUCGUAGGCGGUGCGGCAAGUUGGGAGUGAAAUCUCUGGGCUUAACCCAGAGGCUGCUUCCAAAACUGCUGUGCUUGAGUGUGGGAGAGGCGCGUGGAAUUGCAGGUGUAGCGGUGAAAUGCGUAGAUAUCGAGAGGAACACCUGCGGCGAAGGCGGGUUGCUGGGCUGACACUGACGCUGAUGUGCGAAAGCUAGGGGAGCGAACGGG
rnacentral:rRNA from 1 species